GAUGAACGCUGGCGGCGUGCCUAAUACAUGCAAGUCGAGCGAACAGACGAGGAGCUUGCUCCUCUGACGUUAGCGGCGGACGGGUGAGUAACACGUGGAUAACCUACCUAUAAGACUGGGAUAACUUCGGGAAACCGGAGCUAAUACCGGAUAAUAUAUUGAACCGCAUGGUUCAAUAGUGAAAGACGGUUUUGCUGUCACUUAUAGAUGGAUCCGCGCCGCAUUAGCUAGUUGGUAAGGUAACGGCUUACCAAGGCAACGAUGCGUAGCCGACCUGAGAGGGUGAGCGGCCACACUAGAUCUGAGCCCCGGCCCAUACUCCUGCGGGGGGCCACAGGAGGCAUCCGUGCGCAAUGGGCGAAGGCCGGACGGAGCAGCCCCGUGGGGGGGACAAAGGUUUUCGUAUCUUAAAACUCUUUUAUUAGGGAAAAAAAAAUGUGAAAUUAACUAUGCACGUCUUCAGGCUCCCUAAUCAAAAACCCCCGCCUAACUCCGUC
rnacentral:rRNA from 1 species